AUGGACUGGAGUUCGGUCAUCCUCUGCCUGGUGGCAGCAGUGACAGAUGUCCACUCUCAGGUUCAUCUGCAGCAGUCUGGGGCUGAACUGAGGACUCCUGGAUCUUCAGUAAAGCUGUCCUGCAAGGAUUUUGACUCAGAGAGCUUCCCCAUUUCCUAUAUGAGUUGGGUGAGGCAGAAGCCUGGGCAUGGGCUUGAAUGGAUUGGAAACAUCCUCCCAAGCAUUGGCAGAACAAACUAUGAACAGAAGUUUGAGGACAGAGCCACACUGGAUGCAGACACCAUGACCAGCACAGCCUACAUGGAGCUCCGCAGCCUGACAGCUGAGGACUCUGCGGUCUAUUACUGUGCGAGAGAUGCACACAGUGCUGCACCCGCAUCCUGA